CAGUUAUUCAGCAGGAAUAUAUUAAGAUACACUUAAGAUUCUCUGCCAGGCGGUAUGUUUGGUGCUAUGGAAAUAGCCACAGGCUUGGAUUCACCUUCGUCUCUAACAACCGCGUGAGGAAAAUAGUCUCAUAAAAAAUAAUAUACAGACCAUCAGUAACAAAGCAAUCAUCUGAAACAAGGACAGAUAGGGUGGCGAAUACUAUAAAAUGGAUUUUAGUGUGAUGACAUAGGAACUGAGGUGUCUCAGCCUAAUGGAUUCUCAAAUAAUUAUUGUAACGGUGGUAUGAGACAAAGCUUUGAAGAACAGAAGAUAGCCAUAUGUCCUCCAACAUAUGACCAUGUAGUUUUGGGAGUAUAUAAUCUCCAGCCUGAGGAGCAGAGUAUGUUUGAAAUGAAGACCCAAUCAAAGUUUUAAUCAGAAGAAGACUUGAAGCUUUCACUUCCAGCUCCACCCUGCAAAACUCCAGAGCCUUCUUCUCCAACAAACCACCCAGGCACUGGGGCCUUCUGCAUACUCGCCCACUACUUUUUGGUGCCUACCGGAGAUCAGAGAGGCAGCGUAUUGUGAUGGGCACGGCUCUGGUUUUGGAGUACUGAACCCAAGAUCAUGCAGCCCCAUCAUCACGGACUGGAGUGUUAUCUGCCUUGGACGCAUAGCUACAGAAGUCUAGAGAGCACUGGAAUGGUAACUAAAGAGGUGAAGCCUGAGUCCAGCGGGCAGCUCACGAAGCCCGGAAUAUCCUCUUUCCUGGCACUAUCCUGCACCGCCUGACUCAUGGUGUGAGAUAGUGACUGUACAACUACAUUCAAUGAAGACUGGAAGUCUAACUGGGUAGAGGCAACAACCCAACAGGAGACAAUUACACAAUCGAUGAAGAAGAUGCGGAGAUAAAGUGCUACUCUACUCUCCACUAUUAUUUGCCAAGAAAGCUGAGAGUAUGGCAUGAGCAGAAAAUUAUGUUCUUUGUUCUUAAAUAAAUCCCAAUAGAAAUGAGGUUAUGAACAAACAAGCAGUAGAAUGAGAUGAACAUCUAGGUUAGAUAAAAAUAUGUGUGCAUAAGGAAAAGAACAGCAAUAACAAGAAAGAAGAGAGAGCCUUCUCUUUUACUUCAAUAAGACAGGAAACAGCAUCUUUUAUUUUCCUUGCUGCAGGGGCUCAUUCAUUUUCAUAAAGCACAGUUUCUGCAAUAUGAUGUAUUGAUAAGGUUGCUUCAUCAUGGGAGGACAAACAUGAGGCUGACUAUCAAUGCCAGAACUAGGUCUUCUCUCAAAGCCUCUAAUGAGUGCCGUUUCUCAUAAGGAACCCCUGACACCAUACGACACUUCAGUUAAAUCUUCUGAAAUAUUGCAAGGGCAUGAUUGACAAGGUUUUUUUGGUGCUAUGACUUUCUUGCACAUGUAAACUCUU
rnacentral:lncRNA from 1 species